UUGGUUAAGUUAGAAAGGGCGCACGGUGGAUGCCUUGGCACUAGGAGCCGAAGAAGGACGGGACUAACACCGAUAUGCUUUGGGGAGCUGUACGUAAGCGUUGAUCCAGAGAUUUCCGAAUGGGGGAACCCACUAUCUUUAGUCGGAUAGUAUCCUUACGUGAAUACAUAGCGUGAGGAAGGCAGACCCAGGGAACUGAAACAUCUAAGUACCUGGAGGAAGAGAAAGAAAAAUCGAUUUCCUGAGUAGCGGCGAGCGAAACGGAAAGAGCCCAAACCAAGAAGCUUGCUUCUUGGGGUUGUAGGACACUCUAUACGGAGUUACAAAAGAAAGUUAUAAAUGAAGCGGUCUGGAAAGGCCCGCCAAAGACGGUAACAGCCCGGUAGUUGAAAUGGCUUUCCCUCCAGAGUGGAUCCUGAGUACGGCGGAACACGUGAAAUUCCGUCGGAAUCCGGGAGGACCAUCUCCCAAGGCUAAAUACUCCCUAGUGACCGAUAGUGAACCAGUACCGUGAGGGAAAGGUGAAAAGCACCCCGGAAGGGGAGUGAAACAGUUCCUGAAACCGUGUGCCUACAAGUAGUUAGAGCCCGUUAAUGGGUGAUAGCGUGCCUUUUGUAGAAUGAACCGGCGAGUUACGAUUUGUUGCAAGGUUAAGCGGAAAAAGCGGAGCCGUAGCGAAAGCGAGUCUGAAUAGGGCGCAUAAGUAACAGGUCGUAGACCCGAAACCAGGUGAUCUACCCAUGUCCAGGAUGAAGGUAAGGUAAUACUUACUGGAGGUCCGAACCCACGCACGUUGAAAAGUGCGGGGAUGAGGUGUGGGUAGCGGAGAAAUUCCAAUCGAACUUGGAGAUAGCUGGUUCUCUCCGAAAUAGCUUUAGGGCUAGCCUCGAGGUAAAGAGUCAUGGAGGUAGAGCACUGUUUGGACUAGGGGCCCUUCUCGGGUUACCGAAUUCAGAUAAACUCCGAAUGCCAUGUACUUAUACUCGGGAGUCAGACUGCGAGUGAUAAGAUCCGUAGUCGAAAGGGAAACAGCCCAGACCACCAGUUAAGGUCCCCAAAUAUAUGUUAAGUGGAAAAGGAUGUGGGGUUGCUUAGACAACCAGGAUGUUGGCUUAGAAGCAGCCACCAUUGAAAGAGUGCGUAAUAGCUCACUGGUCGAGUGACCCCGCGCCGAAAAUGUACCGGGGCUAAACAUAUUACCGAAACUGUGGAUGAACCUCUUUAGAGGUUCGUGGUAGGAGAGCGUUCUAAGGGCGGUGAAGUCAGACCGGAAGGACUGGUGGAGCGCUUAGAAGUGAGAAUGCCGGUAUGAGUAGCGAAAGAAGGGUGAGAAUCCCUUCCACCGAAUAUCUAAGGUUUCCUGAGGAAGGCUCGUCCGCUCAGGGUUAGUCGGGACCUAAGCCGAGGCCGAUAGGCGUAGGCGAUGGACAACAGGUAGAGAUUCCUGUACCAGUGCUAAUUGUUUAACCGAUGGGGUGACACAGAAGGAUAGGGAAUCGCACGAAUGGAAAUGUGCGUCCAAGCAGUGAGUGUGAGAAGUAGGCAAAUCCGCUUCUCGCGAAGCAUGAGCUGUGAUGGGGAAGGAAAUUAAGUACGGAAGUUCCUGAUUUCACGCUGUCAAGAAAAGCCUCUAGGAAGAGUAGUACUGCCCGUACCGCAAACCGACACAGGUAGAUGAGGAGAGAAUCCUAAGGUGAGCGAGAGAACUCUCGUUAAGGAACUCGGCAAAAUGACCCCGUAACUUCGGGAGAAGGGGUGCUCUAUUAGGGUGCAAGCCCGAGAGAGCCGCAGUGAAUAGGCCCAGGCGACUGUUUAGCAAAAACACAGGUCUCUGCAAAACCGUAAGGUGACGUAUAGGGGCUGACGCCUGCCCGGUGCUGGAAGGUUAAGAGGAGUGCUUAGCUUCGGCGAAGGUACGAAUUGAAGCCCCAGUAAACGGCGGCCGUAACUAUAACGGUCCUAAGGUAGCGAAAUUCCUUGUCGGGUAAGUUCCGACCCGCACGAAAGGCGCAACGAUCUGGGCACUGUCUCAACGAGAGACUCGGUGAAAUUAUAGUACCUGUGAAGAUGCAGGUUACCCGCGACAGGACGGAAAGACCCCGUGGAGCUUUACUGCAACCUGAUAUGGAAUGUUUGUACCGCUUGUACAGGAUAGGUAGGAGCCGAAGAGACGUGUGCGCUAGCAUACGAGGAGGCAAUGGUGGGAUACUACCCUGGCUGUAUGACCAUU
rnacentral:rRNA from 1 species